rnacentral:piRNA from 1 species
UCUUAAACUCUCCAUCAAAAGAGAGAACUGC